CCCACCCACCCUCGCUUGCAAAAUACAAGAUUAUUUAAUACUAGAAACUACAACAAUCACAAGCAAUAAAGUAAUUGUUCUUAACUGAAACUAAAACCUUUUCUUUUCUAAAAUCGGUUAAUAACAAACAAAAGUUUAUCACUGCCGAGGUCAUUUUUAUCGUAAAAAUUGUUCAUUCGUGAUUAAUUAUUUGUGGAGUGUGUCAUUAUUUAAGUUAAUAAGCAAUAAUUAAGUAAAUGUUAGUGAAUAUAAGUACCUUUUAAAAUCAUAGUUACGGUCGACGGACGUAGAAUAAAAGAGGAAUUUGGAAAAUAUGAAAAACCGUUCUGAAGUGAUACAAAUAUUCGUGAAAGUAUAAGGAUUCAACAUGAUAGUUCUUACCGUAAUAGUGGUGGUGAUAAAUGUAAUGGCGCAAUACAAUAACUACAAUAUUAACAUCCCGGAGGAAAGACAUAUGGACAUACGAGUACGAAGGGACAUUGGUGAUUUAAAAUUAAAAUUAGAUGAUCUGGAUGAUAAUACAGUUUAUGCAAAGAAUUUAUAUGACUACACUUAUAUUUUGUUGAAUAAUGAAUUAGGUGAAGGUGAUGUAGAUAUGAAAACUGUAUCUACUUCAAGACAUGAAAAUGAAUACAAAGACAAAGAUAUAUCCAAAAACAUUUUGAAUAGUGGGAAUGUUGUCAAUGGGAAAAAGUUUAAUGAAAUCUAUAAUGUAGAACUUAGUAAAACUGCACAUGUGAAACAUGCUAAUAUAGAUUUUGAAAACAGACGGAUCAAGAACAAAAAAGACAAAACUAGAGAUACAAACAUUGUUCACCAACUGAAUGGAAUAAGUAAACAGACAAGAGCGAAAAGACAAUUUUCUAAAUCUUAUUAUGAUAAUAUUUAUAGGUUUGAUAAUUACUAUAAUGGACAAAGCGUGACAUAUAGCCCAUACAAACAUAAUCCAGGCUAUAUGACAACAUUUAAAUAUUAUAAAUCAGAUGACAUUUAUGGAGGUGAACAAACAACAAACAAAAAUGAUUAUAGAACCAGUAAAGAUUACAACACUGACAGUAAUAAAUACUAUGAUAAUUCUCAACCAUAUAAAAAUAAUAAUUUUAGUCCAUAUAAUAAUGAUUUUGGACAAGAAAAUAAUGUAAAUUAUAAUAAUUAUAAUCAAAACACGCCUUCUGGUAUAGGAAAUGAAGUGGAAACUACAACUAUAAUACUAGAAAGCUGUUUUCUGUGUAGAUCUCUCGGGUGUCCGAAAUACUACAAGCGAGUUUGGUCUGGCUGCGUCCCUGUUGAUGAUUACGAUUGAUGUUUAAGUGUUUCUCUGAUUUAAUUAAUGAAAAGCGAAUACUUCUACUUUAAUAUAUUAAUUAAUUUACGAAAAAAUAAAUUUGUUUUAAUUUC